UUUAAGGAGAACACAGAAAGAAAAGGAACUAAGGCGGUCAGAAAAUGGAGUAAUCAGGUCUGGUGGAAGUAGUCAUAGGUAGAUGGGCCGAAACCGACUAUUGGGAAGUCGGUCACUCUCCAAUCCAAUAGGAAGAGUGGGAGACACAGAUAGAUGUACAGCGGUUAAAGUUUGAGAGAGUGUCGGAGUGAGCCGGAGCGUGGAUGAUUGAGAAUAGACAGAGAAGAGAGAUGGAUUACCGGUGUGUCCAGUGCGGGUUUGGGAUCAAAACACUGUUCGUGCAAUACUCACCCGGCAACAUCCGGCUCAUGAAAUGUGAGAAUUGCAAAGCCGUCGCUGAUGAGUACAUCGAAUGUGAAACCAUGAUUCUUAUAAUUGAUUUGAUUCUGCACAAGCCCAAAGCAUAUAGACAUCUACUCUAUAACAUGCUCAAGCAUGAACCUCCAAAUCUCGAGAAUUUAUUGUGGAAGUCAACUUUUGGUUAUCUUCUUUUUGAUGCUUACAGGAGUCUUGCUUUAAAAAGUAGCAAGGAAGAGUGGGGUUUGUCCAUGAGCUUUUCUUCAUUAGUUUGGACAUGUGGAAAGAUUUUGACAGAUGUACUUUUUGGGAACUUUUUGUUUCUUUGUACUUUUCUUCUUGCAAUGAAGAUAUUUCUGAGCAGAUUACCUGGAACCUCAAGGUACAAAGACUUUGUGCUUGCAAUCUUGAUUUCAAGUUACUUCAAGAUAUUUCUUAUUGCCAUGAUGUUAGGGGAGACAGUGGUAGGCUCAGUUAUCUCCUCUAAUCUGGAGAGUCUCUACUCAGGGUCUGGGAGUUUCCAUCUUCUGUGAUUUUCAUCAUUGAUUUAUUUGUUUUAUCAUCCAACACAAUGGCAGUAAAAGUGAUAACCGGAUCAGCUAUGAGUAGAUGCAUAGGAGCCUGCCUCAGUGCGCAUGCUGUUAAAGUCUUUACCUUUCUGAUGUUCUAGCUAAUGUCUUUGAGAUGUGCAAACUUCUUCAGUGGCUAAUGCCCUGAUCUUUCUAUUGAAAUACAGCAGAACAGAGCAUAAUUUAUGUUUUCUCUUGUAUUUAUUAGUUUUUUUUCCUACUGAUGCAGUGGCUGUUGGAUUGACCGUUGUGAGUGUAUUAUGUAAAUUUGUGAAAUAGAAUGUUAUGUUAUAUCCCCAUCAAAGUUGAAUUGGUCUAUUGGGGCUCUGCUUAGCAUUCUAAUUAACAAAUUAGAAUUGCAGUGUGGAAUCA